CCUCCAGCAUGUUGUCAUCAUUCCAACCAGAAAUUGGCACAAAUGCUACUGUGUUGGGGUUGUAGCCAAUUUUCUUAAUGUAAGUGCUGACUUCCUUAACGAUUUCCUCAUAUCUCUUCUGGCUGCAGGGUGGCUCAGUGGAAUCCAUUUUGUUAACACCAACAAUUAGUUGUUUCACAUCCAGUGUGUAAGCCAGAAGGGCAUGCUCACUGGUCUGCCCAUUCUUGGAGAUACCAGCUUCAAAUUCACCAACACCAGCAGCAACAAUCAGGACAGCACAGUCAACCUGAGAUGUCCCUGUAAUCACGUUUUUGAUUAAGAGAG
rnacentral:lncRNA from 1 species